GUCAGGGUAGCUCAGCUGGUAGAGCAGAGGACUGAAAAUC
rnacentral:tRNA from 3 species